GAUGAACGCUGGCGGCGUGCCUAAUAAAUGCAAGUCGAGCGAACAGACGAGGAGCUUGCUCCUCUGUCGUUUGCGGCGGACGGGUGAGUCACACGUGGAUAACCUCCCUGUAAUACUGGGAUAACUUCGGGAAACGGGCGCAAAUACCGGAUGAUAUAUUGAACCACGUUGUUGAAUAGUGAAAUACGGUUUUUCUGUCUCUUAUAGCUGUAUCCGCGCCGGAUUAGCUAGUUGGUAAGGUAACGGGUUACCAAGGCAACGAUGCGUAGCCGACCUGAGAGGGUGAUCGGCCACACUGGAACUGAGACACGGUCCAGACUCCUACGGGAGGCAGCAGUAGGGAAUCUUCCGCAAUGGGCGAAAGCCUGACGGAGCAACGCCGCGUGAGUGAUGAAGGUCUUCGGAUCGUAAAACUCUGUUAUGAGGGAAGAACAAAUGUGUAAGUAACUAUGCACGUCUUGACGGUACCUAAUCAGAAAGCCACGGCUAACUACGUG
rnacentral:rRNA from 1 species